GAUGAACGCUGGCGGCGUGCCUAAUACAUGCAAGUCGAGCGAACAGACCAGGAGCUUGCUCCUCUGACGUUAUCGGCGGACGGGUGAGUAACACGUGGAUAACCUACCUCUACGACUGGGGUAACUUCGGGAAACCGGAGCUAAUACCGGAUAACAUGUUGAACCGCAUGGUUCAACAGUUAAAGACGGUCUUGCUGUCACUUAUAGAUUGAUCCGCGCCGCAUUAGCUAGUUGGUGAGGUAACGGCUUACCCAGGCUACGAUGCGUAACCGACCUGAGGGGGUGAACGGCCACACGGGAACUGAGACAGGGUCGAGACACUGACGGGGGGAAGCAGUAGGGAAUCUUACGCGAGGGGGGAAAGGGGGAUGGAGGAACGCGGCGGGAGGGAAGAAGGUGUUCGGAUGGGAGAGUUAUGUUAGUAGGAGAGAAGUAAUGCGUAAGUAACUGUGCACGUAUUGACGGUACCUGGAGAAAAAGCCACGGCUAACUACGUG
rnacentral:rRNA from 1 species